rnacentral:rRNA from 1 species
UGGGGAAUCUUGCACAAUGGGGGAAACCCUGAUGCAGCGACGCCGCGUGAGCGAUGAAGCCCUUCGGGGUGUAAAGCUCUUUCGACAGGAACGAUAAUGACGGUACCUGGAGAAGAAGCUGCGGCUAACUACGUGCCAGCAGCCGCGGUAAUACGUAGGCAGCAAGCGUUGUUCGGAGUUACUGGGCGUAAAGAGUGCGUAGGCGGUGCCCUAAGUCUGUUGUGAAAUCUCCCGGCUUAACUGGGAGGGUGCGGUGGAAACUGGGGUGCUUGAGUGUGGGAGAGGUAAGCGGAAUUCCUGGUGUAGCGGUGAAAUGCGUAGAUAUCAGGAGGAACACCGGCGGUGUAGACGGCUUACUGGACCACGACUGACGCUGAGGCACGAAAGCGUGGGUAGCAAACAGGAUUAGAUACCCCCGUAGUCC